AUGCACGCUGGCGGCGUGCCUCAUACCUGCCAGUCGCGCGAACAGACGAGGAGCUUGCUCCUCUGACGUUAGCGGCGGACGGGUGAGUAACACGUGGAUAACCUACCUAUAAGACUGGGAUAACUUCGGGAAACCGGAGCUAAUACCGGAUAAUAUAUUGAACCGCAUGGUUCAAUAGUGAAAGACGGUUUUGCUGUCACUUAUAGCUGGAUCCGCGCCGCAUUAGCUAGUUGGUAAGGUAACGGCUUACCAAGGCAACGAUGCGUAGCCGACCUGAGAGGGUGAUCGGCCACACUGGAACUGAGACACGGUCCAGACUCCUACGGGAGGCAGCAGUAGGGAAUCUUCCGCAAUGGGCGAAAGCCUGACGGAGCAACGCCGCGUGAGUGAUGAAGGUCUUCGGAUCGUAAAACUCUGUUAUUAGGGAAGAACAAAUGUGUAAGUAACUAUGCACGUCUUGACGGUACCUAAUCAGAAAGCCACGGCUAACUACGUG
rnacentral:rRNA from 1 species